rnacentral:rRNA from 1 species
GGAAUUGUUCGCAAUGGGCGCAAGCCUGACGACGCAACGCCGCGUGGAGGAUGAAGGUCUUCGGAUUGUAAACUCCUGUUGCCCGGGACGAAUGGCCCCGCCCUAAUACGUCGGAGUGUGACGGUACCGGGUGAGGAAGCCCCGGCCACCUCUGUGCCCGCAGCCGCGGUAAUACAGAGGGGGCAAGGGUUGUUCGGAAUUACUGGGCGUAAAGGGCGCGUAGGCGGCCUGCUAAGUCGAACGUGAAAUCCCCGGGCUCAACCCGGGAACUGCGUCCGAUACUGGUUGGCUUGAAUCCGGGAGAGGGAUGCGGAAUUCCAGGUGUAGCGGUGAAAUGCGUAGAUAUCUGGAGGAACACCGGUGGCGAAGGCGGCAUCCUGGACCGGCAUUGACGCUGAGGCGCGAAAGCCAGGGGAGCAAA